UCCCACACACUGGCUGUGAACUUGUUCCCAACAAAUGAGUCUGUGGGUUGGGAAUGUCAUCUAUCUGAGCAGAUAUCUGCCCAUAUACUAUCUCAGUACCAGCAAAACUCUGAGCCUAAAGGUGACACAUGGCCAAGGGCUGCUCUGCUGUUAACCAUGCACAAUCGAUGGCAGCAAAGGUUGAAGUGAGCAUAAUCUGCAACCUUUCCAUGGAAGUCUUAAACCUUUCUCACAGUGGUUCUGCCCAUUGUCAGACAAUUAUAUUGGAGAAAGGUUUUCAUUUUCAUAGCAUGUUCAGAUUUUGGAGGGAAAUGCAAAGAGCAGUGAAGGAGGAAAGGCAAACCCUUCCUCCCAGGCUUCAACAGAGUCAACCCGGGAAUCAAUGAGAUGACAGAUGUUGGAGACAGAUGCCUGAAUAUCCACUCAAUAGUCAGGCUUAAUGAACUAACACAGGAAGAGCAAUUAGAGAAUUCAUUAAUUAUACUCUAAGUUCACUUUCAUUGUUAAUUCUAAUCCUUUAUUUGGGCUAAUGACUUCAGCUUUUCUUAUAAUAAUUUGUGCCCGUCAGUGAAUGAUAACAUCUUCAAAUUUCCAUAAUUGUGUAAAAUUCAAACUAUAUGUGUAGCUCUAAAUUGGACCUAAAGUAGCUUCUAAGGGUACAUAAGACACUUCAAGAUAACAUAAAUGAGGAGAAAAACAAAAAGCCAGAAAAUGCAUGACACAGGAGAAGAUGUACCCUCAUCUGUUCAGUGAGAGAUGUGCAAAUCAACAUCAACACAGAACUGCUGAAGAAAAAAAAUAUGUGUGUGGAUUAUAUAUAUACAUAUAAGUGUGUGUAUAUAUAUAUAUAUAUAUAUUUACAUAUAUAGUAUGGGCUAUUUCACCUUUGCAAGCUGGGAGCCAUUAAGUAAUGGCUACCACCACUCCCCCACCCCCUUCAGUAAAACACAUCCUGAACAUUGGGCCCAUGUUUUCAAGAAGAAUGUGCCCCACUGCCCCUUGGAAACUCCAUUUCAUUUACUUGGUUCAGUUAGUUAAUGACGGUCCAUUUUGACUCAAAUAUCCAGUUCCCUUUCAUCAAUCAUGUCUUUCUGGACUGUCAGUUUUAGGGCAAGGAUUACAAAGCCCUUCCAUGCAGAUAUCCACAGAGAAAGACCCAGACCCACAUCCCCAUUUAGGAUUGCUUAGGGACUCAUUUCUUCCGCUUCCUUCCAAAUGAAAAGAAUGAGCUAUGUGAAAGGGGAAAACCCCACUGGAAAAUGAAUGUUGGUGACUCAAGUGUUAAUCUAGAAAGUCUUAUGAUUUGGUGCUGGAAAAGGGCAUUGUAAUAAGAUGGUUCUUUAUACCAUGCAAACCAGGGGAAUACAAAACACUGUCAACCAUGAAAAUAAGAUUUAAUUUGGAAUCACAACACAUAGGGUUUUUUCCACUUUAAAUUCUUUUUAUUCAUUCAUAUUUGUUAUAAAUAUUCAAUAGAAAU
rnacentral:lncRNA from 1 species